rnacentral:tRNA from 1 species
GGGGAUAUAGCUCAGUUGGUAGAGUACUUGCCUUGCAUGCACAAGGCCCUGGGUUCAAUCCCCAGAACCACA